AACGCGAAGAACCUUACCAGGGCUUGACAUGCACUGGAAUGUCGUGGAAACACGGCAGCCCUUCGGGGCCAGUGCACAGGUGGUGCAUGGCUGUCGUCAGCUCGUGUCGUGAGAUGUUGGGUUAAGUCCCGCAACGAGCGCAACCCUUGCUCUUAGUUGCCAUCAGGUCAAGCUGGGCACUCUAAGAGGACUGCCGGUGAAAAACCGGAGGAAGGUGGGGACGACGUCAAGUCCUCAUGGCCUUUAUAUCCGGGGCGACACACACGCUACAAUGGGCAGUACAAUGGGAGGCGAAAGGGCGACCUGGAGCGAAUCCUAUCAAAGCUGUUCGUAGUUCGGAUUGCAGGCUGCAACUCGCCUGCAUGAAGCUGGAGUUGCUAGUAACCGUAGGUCAGCCAUACUACGGUGAAUACGUUCCCGGGCCUUGUACACACCG
rnacentral:rRNA from 1 species